rnacentral:rRNA from 1 species
GAUGAACGCUGGCGGCGUGCCUAACACAUGCAAGUCGAACGGAGUCCAGCCUUUAAGACCUUCGGGUCAAAGAGGGGAAGACUGAGUGGCGGACGGGUGAGUAACACGUGGGCAACCUGGCUCAUAGAGGGGGAUAACAGAGAGAAAUUUCUGCUAAUACCGCAUAAGCACACACUGCCGCAUGGCAGAGGGUGAAAAGAGAAUCGCUAUGAGAUGGACCCGCGUCUGAUUAGCCAGUUGGCAGGGUAAGAGCCUACCAAAGCGACGAUCAGUAGCCGAUCUGAGAGGAUGAACGGCCACAUUGGGACUGAGACACGGCCCAAAAUCCUACGGGAGGCAGCAGUGGGGGAUAUUGCACAAUGGGGGGAACCCUGAUGCAGCGACGCCGCGUGAGUGAAGAAGUAUUUCGGUAUGUAAAGCUCUAUCAGCAGGGAAGAUAAUGACAGUACCUGAAUAAGAAGCCCCGGCUAACUACGUG